rnacentral:SRP_RNA from 1 species
GCUGGACACGGUGGCGCAUGCCUGUAAUCCCAGCUACUCGGGAGGCUGAGGCAGGAGAAUCACUUGAACCUGGGAGGCAGAGGUUGCAGUGAGCCAAGAUCGCACUGCAAUUUAGCCUGGGCAACAGAGUGAGACCCUGUCUCAA